CCUACGGGCGGCAGCAGUGGGGAAUAUUGCACAAUGGGCGCAAGCCUGAUGCAGCCAUGCCGCGUGUGUGAAGAAGGCCUUCGGGUUGUAAAGCACUUUCAGCGGGGAGGAAGGCGGUGAGGUUAAUAACCUCAUCGAUUGACGUUACCCGCAGAAGAAGCACCGGCUAACUCCGUGCCAGCAGCCGCGGUAAUACGGAGGGUGCAAGCGUUAAUCGGAAUUACUGGGCGUAAAGCGCACGCAGGCGGUCUGUCAAGUCGGAUGUGAACUCCCCGGGCUCAACCUGGGAACUGCAUUCGAAACUGGCAGGCUAGAGCCUUGUAGAGGGGGGUAGAAUUCCAGGUGUAGCGGUGAAAUGCGUAGAGAUCUGGAGGAAUACCGGUGGCGAAGGCGGCCCCCUGGGCAAAGACUGACGCUCAGGUGCGAAAGCGUGGGGAGCAAACAGGAUUAGAUACCCCGGUAGUC
rnacentral:rRNA from 1 species